CUCAGUAACACGUAGAGAACUGCCCUAAGGACGGGGAUAACCUCGGGAAAUUGAGGAUAAUACCCGAUAAAAGAAAGCGUCUGGAACGAGCUUUCUUUAAAAUGAUUUGGCGAAAUGCAGCCAAACUCGCCUUUGGAUGGCUCUGCGUCUGAUUAGCCUGUUGGUGGUGUAAAGGACCACCAAAGCUAUGAUCAGUAGGGGCAAUGAGAGUUGGAGCCCCGAGAAGGGCACUGAGACAAGGGCCCUAGCCCUACGGGGUGCAGCAGGUGCGAAAUCUCCACAAUACGCGAAAGCGUGAUGGGGCUAGUCAGAGUGUUCAAGCUUAGCUUGAACUGUGGCGGAGCGUAAGAUACUCCACAAGAAAGGGGUGGGCAAUACCGGUGCCAGCAGCCGCGGUAACCCCGGAGCCCCAAGUGGUUGCCAUAUUUAUUGGGCCUAAAGCAUCCGUAGCCGGACUAGAAGGUCUCUCGUGAAAUCGUUCCCCCUGAAGGAACGGCGUGCGAGAGAUACCACUAGUCUAGGAAUCGGGAGGGGUCGGAGGUACUGCAGGGGUAGGGGUGAAAUCCUGUAAUCCUUGCCGGACCACCUGUGGCGAAGGCGUCCGACUGGAACGAGUUCGACGGUGAAGGAUGAAAGCCAGGGUAACCAACCGGAUUAGAUACCCGGGUAGUCCUGGCCGUAAACCCUGCUCGCUAGGUGUUGCAUAUUCUUCGAGAGUAUGCAGGGCCGAAGAGAAGUCGUUAAGCGAGCC
rnacentral:rRNA from 1 species